UGGGGAAUAUUGGACAAUGGGGGCAACCCUGAUCCAGCCAUGCCGCGUGAGUGAUGAAGGCCCUAGGGUUGUAAAGCUCUUUUGUGCGGGAAGAUAAUGACGGUACCGCAAGAAUAAGCCCCGGCUAACUUCGUGCCAGCAGCCGCGGUAAUACGAAGGGGGCUAGCGUUGCUCGGAAUCACUGGGCGUAAAGGGUGCGUAGGCGGGUUUCUAAGUCAGAGGUGAAAGCCUGGAGCUCAACUCCAGAACUGCCUUUGAUACUGGAAGUCUUGAGUAUGGCAGAGGUGAGUGGAACUGCGAGUGUAGAGGUGAAAUUCGUAGAUAUUCGCAAGAACACCAGUGGCGAAGGCGGCUCACUGGGCCAUUACUGACGCUGAGGCACGAAAGCGUGGGGAGCAAACAGGAUUAGAUACCCUGGUAGUCCACGCCGUAAACGAUGGAUGCCAGCCGUUAGUGGGUUUUACUCACUAGUGCGCAGCUAACGCUUUAAGCAUUCCGCCUGGGGAGUACGGUCNCAAGAUUAAAAACUCAAAUGAAUUGACGGGGUCAUAGCUGUUUUCCU
rnacentral:rRNA from 1 species